AGAGCGAACGUUAGCGGCGGGCUUAACACAUGCAAGUCGAGCGAGAAAGGGACUUCGGUCCCGAGUACAGCGGCGGACGGGUGAGAAGUACAUAGG
rnacentral:rRNA from 1 species